UAGGGAAUCUUCGGCAAUGGGGGCGAACCCUGACCGAGCAACGCCGCGUGAGUGAAGAAGGUUUUCGGAUCGUAAAGCUCUGUUGUAAGAGAAGAACGUGUGUGAGAGUGGAAAGUUCACACAGUGGCGGUAACUUACCAGAAAGGGACGGCUAACUACGUGCCAG
rnacentral:rRNA from 1 species